CAAACUCUUGCUGUUCUGAAGUCACCAAAAGGGAGACCGUAUGAAAAGGUAGGAGAGAGAGAGAGGAAAGGAGAGAUAGCAAGAUAGACCAUAGUGGCUGACCACACAUUCCAGCUCCUACUCUUUGAAUCUUCCCAACUCAGAAACAGGAAUGAAGAUGUAUUGAAAGACACCCAAGAAAUACUCAAAGAUCCAGCUCAAGAACUACCUAUCUUGUCUACAGCCAUACCACCCUGAAUGCACCUGAUCUCGUCUGACCUGGGAAACUCAGCAGGGUCGGGCCUGAUUAGUACUUACAUGGAAGAACUACCUGUCUGAACUCACUCUAUCAGCAUACUCUUGAAAAAGUUAAGACAUAAAAUACAUAGUAGUAUUUUAAGCCUCUAUUUAGGGUGUAUAUUUAGGCAGCAGUGAUCACUUGAAAUAUCCUGGUUUAAUCAAGCACAGUCACUGCAGUUUGUAGGACAGAGUACCUGAGCUGACCCCUCAGAUAAAAGUCAGUUCUACUCCCAGAAUUCUCACAUCUUUUUGCAAUGGGUAAAGAGACAAAGUUGACAUAUAUGAUAGGCCCAAUCACAGAACAUUCCUAUGGUAAUACUAAGUGCAAGCCACCUGACCAUAUGUCAUGGGUCUAUGACUCGCUCUUUCCCUGUAAAUAGCAGCUCCUAGAGUUCUCCUAAGGUGUGCUCUUUCUCUUUCCUCAACUCAGCCUGAGCCCAUGCUCCUCCUUCAAAACUGAGAAAGACUCAGAGCUUCUCCACAAGACAUACAAUACCAAGAUCUGUAAUGUACUAUCCUAAUGCUAUAGCAAUCAGUCUCCUAACUCGUAUCAUUUCUAAGCCAGGGGAAUAAUUGCAAAAUACACUUUCUAUUUGUUCAGCUUCAAUCCAAUUUAAGUCAUCAAACAUUUAUCAAAUGUCUACUCUGUGCCAAGUACUGGGGACAACAAACUGCUGAAUCACUCCCUUCAUGCUCAGGAUGCAUUUGGCAGGUGGGGAGUGGGGGUAGGGAUGGUCAGGGACACAGAUACCCAAACACCUGUGAUGCAGUGGAGUGACACACAGACAUAUAGGUGAGGCUGUGAGCCACAUAGAGGUCUGUCUGAGUAGGAAAGGCUGGGAACCUAAGGAAGCUCAGGGAAGACAUCGUUGAAGGAAGGAGAGUUCAGCGGGCAAAGGAAGUAAGCUAAGAACAGAAGAAUGCAGGCUUCUUGAUCUAUCAUGACCCAGGAUCGAUGACCAUACAACAGGGAAGCUACUGGAGGAUGCUUUUACCAUCCUGGACAACUUUUGGAAAUUUGGAGUAGUGUAUGCUAAGAAGCUUAAGAUAUGGCCCAAGUACCUGAAGUACAACCAUACCAUAGUUGACCUGACGCUCACCUGGCAUAGAGUGACUGCAUCAUUCACAUUCAACAGUCAGAAAAUAAAAGAAUUAUGAAGAA